UACAGAGGUCUCAAGCGUUGUUCGGAUUCAUUGGGCGUAAAGGGCGCGUAGGCGGUUGGAUAAGUCAGCUGUGAAAACCACGGGCUUAACUCGUGGCCUGCAGUUGAGACUGUCUGGCUUGAGUGUGGGAGAGGAGAGUGGAAUUCCUGGUGUAGCGGUGAAAUGCGUAGAUAUCAGGAGGAACACCGGUGGCGAAGGCGGCUCUCUGGACCACAACUGACGCUGGGGUGCGAAAGCAUGGGGAGCGAACGAGGA
rnacentral:rRNA from 1 species